rnacentral:tRNA from 1 species
GGGCCUGUAAUCUAGCAUGGAUAGGGUACCCGCCUUCGGAGCGGGAUUUCGCAGGUUCGAAUCCUGCCAGGCCCA